GACGAACGCUGGCGGCGUGCUUAACUCAUGCCAGUCGAACGGAAAGGCCUCUUUCGGGGGGUACUCGAGUGGCGAACGGGUGAGUAACACGUGAGUAACCUGCCCUUGACUUUGGGAUAACUUCAGGAAACUGGGGCUAAUACCGGAUAGGAGCUCCUGCUGCAUGGUGGGGGUUGGAAAGUUUCGGCGGUUGGGGAUGGACUCGCGGCUUAUCAGCUUGUUGGUGGGGUAGUGGCUUACCAAGGCUUUGACGGGUAGCCGGCCUGAGAGGGUGACCGGCCACAUUGGGACUGAGAUACGGCCCAGACUCCUACGGGAGGCAGCAGUGGGGAAUAUUGCACAAUGGGUGGAAGCCUGAUGCAGCAACGCCGUGUGCGGGAUGACGGCCUUCGGGUUGUAAACCGCUUUCGCUCAUGACGAAGCUUUGUGUGACGGUAGUGGGUAAAGAAGCACCGGCUAACUACGUG
rnacentral:rRNA from 1 species